UCCCUGGUGGUCCAGUGGCUAAGACAUCACACUCCCAAUGCAGGGGCCUGGGUUUGAUCCCUGGUCAGGGAA
rnacentral:tRNA from 1 species